rnacentral:rRNA from 1 species
GAUGAACGCUGGCGGCAGGCUUAACACAUGCAAGUCGAACGACAUAGUGGCAGACGGGUGAGUAACACGUGGAAACGUACCUUUCACUACGGAAUAGCUCUUGGAAACGAGUGGUAAUACCGUAUACGCCCUUCGGGGGAAAGAUUUAUCGGUGAAAGAUCGGUCCGCGUUAGAUUAGCUAGUUGGUGAGGUAAGAGCUCACCAAGGCGACGAUCUAUAGCUGGUCUGAGAGGAUGAUCAGCCACACUGGGACUGAGACACGGCCCAGACUCCUACGGGAGGCAGCAGUGGGGAAUAUUGCACAAUGGGCGCAAGCCUGAUGCAGCCAUGCCGCGUGAAUGAUGAAGGCCUUAGGGUUGUAAAAUUCUUUCGCUAGGGAUGAUAAUGACAGUACCUAGUAAAGAAGCCCCGGCUAACUUCG